GACAGAGGUGCCGAGCGUUACUCGGAAUCACUGGGCGUAAAGCGUGCGUAGGCGGUUCGUUAAGUCUGCUGUGAAAGCCCUGGGCUCAACCUGGGAACUGCAGUGGAUACUGGCGGACUAGAGUGUGAUAGAGGAUGGUGGAAUUCCCGGUGUAGCGGUGAAAUGCGUAGAGAGUCGGGAGGAACACCAGUGGCGAAGGCGGUUCUCUGGGCCUUACCGUGAC
rnacentral:rRNA from 1 species